rfam:Rattus norvegicus chromosome 2, whole genome shotgun sequence.
GGGGAUUUAGCUCAGUGGUAGAGUGCUUGCCUAGCAAGUGCAAGGCCCUGGGUUCAGUUCCCAGCUCCG